rnacentral:rRNA from 1 species
CUACGGGUUGCAGCAGUGAGGAAUUUUGCGCAAUGGGGGAAACCCUGACGCAGCGACGCCGCGUGGACGAUGAAGGCCUUCGGGUUGUAAAGUCCUGUCAGCAGGGAAGAAGUGCCUGGUAGUUAAUAUCUGCCAAGUUUGACGGUACCUGCAAAGGAAGCACCGGCUAACUCCGUGCCAGCAGCCGCGGUAAUACGGAGGGUGCAAGCGUUGUUCGGAAUUACUGGGCGUAAAGGGCGCGUAGGCGGCCAUUUAAGUCAGAUGUGAAAGCCCACGGCUCAACCGUGGAAGUGCAUCUGAAACUGUAUGGCUUGAAUAUGGGAGAGGAAAGUGGAAUUCCCGGUGUAGAGGUGAAAUUCGUAGAUAUCGGGAGGAACACCAGUGGCGAAGGCGACUUUCUGGACCAAUAUUGACGCUGAGGCGCGAAAGCGUGGGGAGCAAACAGGAUUAGAUACCCCCGUAGUC